rnacentral:rRNA from 1 species
UACGUAGGUGGCGAGCGUUGUCCGGAUUUACUGGGCGUAAAGAGCGCGCAGGCGGUCGAUUUAGUCGUGUGUGAAAUCCCCGGGCUCAACCUGGGAACUGCAUUUGUGACUGCAUCGCUGGAGUGCGGCAGAGGGGGAUGGAAUUCCGCGUGUAGCAGUGAAAUGCGUAGAGAUGUGGAGGAACACCGAUGGCGAAGGCAGCCUCCUGGGCCAGCACUGACGCUCAUGCACGAAAGCGUGGGGAGCAAACAGG